GAGAAGAACAUUAAAAUUUCGAAUAUUCCUUUCUAUUGAAAUUCUUUUUAAAUAGUGAGAGACCUGUUCUUCGUGACGAUCUGUAAUUCAUUGAUCACAUAGAUUAUCUAGGAGCACCGGACGAUUUUAGUUCGAAAAGCCAUCAUGAAAGCUGUCUUGUUUUUGUGUUGUAUGGUUUUUGUGGUCAGCUUGGUCAUUGGUGAUGAUUAUAGUAUUAAUGCAGACUUCUUUGACAAAGCUGGCUUAAGUCGAGCCUACCGCGGCAACAAAACCUUUACCCGCUAUUCUGCAUGUGAAAAAAGAUGCGACCGAAUGAAUCCUCCCGAGAACUGCCCUGAUGUGGAAUAUGUAGGAUGUGGAUGCAAAAAGGGUUAUGUACCAAUUGAUAAUACCUUCAAUAAAUGUGUACUUCCAGCGGAU